rnacentral:rRNA from 1 species
UACGUAGGGUGCAAGCGUUGUCCGGAAUUAUUGGGCGUAAAGGGCUCGUAGGCGGUUUGUCACGUCGGGAGUUAACGUAACGGCGGUCUAACCCCGAGCCUGCUUCCGAUACGGGCAGACUAGAGGUAUGCAGGGGAGAACGGAAUUCCUGGUGUAGCGGUGAAAUGCGCAGAUAUCAGGAGGAACACCGGUGGCGAAGGCGGUUCUCUGGGCAUUACCUGACGCUGAGGAGCGAAAGUGUGGGGAGCGAACAGG